rnacentral:rRNA from 1 species
CCCCUAGAUGUUCUGGGCCGCACGCGCGCUACACUGAACAGUUCAACAAGUCUUAACCUUGGCCGAUAGGUCUGGGUAAUCUUUGAACGCUGUUCGUGAGUGGGAUAGACCUUUGCAAUUAUGGGUCUUCAACGAGGAAUUCCUAGUAAACGCAAGUCAUCAGCUUGCAUUGAUUACGUCCCUGCCCUUUGUACACACCGCCCGUCGCACCUACCGAUUGAAUGGUCCGGUGAAAUCUCGGGACGGCGGCUUGGUCGCUUGCGUCCGACUGCUGAAACUUGAUUAAACCAUAUCAUUUAGAGGAAGGUGAAGUCGUANCA